AUGAACGCUGGCGGCGUGCCUAAUACAUGCAAGUCGAGCGAACAGACGAGGAGCUUGCUCCUCUGACGUUAGCGGCGGACGGGUGAGUAACACGUGGAUAACCUACCUAUAAGACUGGGAUAACUUCGGGAAACCGGAGCUAAUACCGGAUAAUAUAUUUAACCGCAUGGUUCAAUAGUGAAAGACGGUUUUGCUGUCACUUAUAGAUGGAUCCUCGCCGCAUUAGCUAGUUGGUAAGGUAACGGCUUACCAAGGCAACGAUGCGUAGCCGACCUGAGAGGGUGAUCGGCCACACUGGAACUGAGACACGGUCCAGACUCCUACGGGAGGCAGCAGUAGGGAAUCUUCCGCAAUGGGCGAAAGCCUGACGGAGCAACGCCGCGUGAGUGAUGAAGGUCUUCGGAUCGUAAAACUCUGUUAUUGGGGAAGAACAAAUGUGUAAGUAACUAUGCACGUCUUGACGGUACCUAAUCAGAAAGCCACGGCUAACUACGUG
rnacentral:rRNA from 1 species